rnacentral:rRNA from 1 species
GACGGAGGGGGCUAGCGUUGUUCGGAAUGACUGGGCGUAAAGGGCGCGUAGGCGGUUUAUUAAGUGAGGCGUGAAAGCCCUGGGCUUAACCCAGGAGGUGCGUUUCAUACUGGUAGACUUGAGUACGAGAGAGGAAAGCGGAAUUCCUAGUGUAGAGGUGAAAUUCGUAGAUAUUAGGAAGAACACCAGAGGCGAAGGCGGCUUACUGGUCCAUAACUGACGCUGAGGUGCGAAAGCGUGGGGAGCAAACAGGG